rnacentral:sRNA from 1 species
AAAUUUUUCUUCAGGAAACGGUUGUUAGCAAUUUACUGUUGUACAGCUGUAACUGCCCAAAACACCUUACCAUGAAUAAACAAUUUCAUGGCAGUCAUGACUUAAAUUUUUAAUCUUUUUUAACUCUUCAUUUAUCAACCAAGACCAUAUAUGGCUGGUUAUGUUCCCAGCAAGCACAGGUCAUCUUUGCUUCAUCCUCCUCUGCGAAAACAUAAACUGUAGGGAUUUUAAUUCGAUCAGAGCCUGGUUUGUUGUAACCUUAAGAGGCAGAGGAUGUGAGAAAACAGCUUGUGCCUCAUCCUUUCAACCGUGAGAAGCAGCUUCAGAGUUUAUUCUGGCGCUCUGCAUCACUGCUGCUGGUGAGGGCUUGUCAGCGCUUCUGUGCCUCAUCUGCCCCCUUGAGAGGCUGGAGCCCAGCUAUCGGUUGGCUGCAGAAUGGAUUCUGAUCUGUGGAGAGCAUAUCUUGGGGGGUGGGGAGCACACACCUCACAUGGUUUUGGAGGGUUACUCUAAAUGCAGUCGGAGGCAGCAGAAGGUGGAAUCCAGCAGCUGCUGCCUUUUCAAAAUAAUGCUUUUUAAACACUUUUUCCUUUAAAGUAAUUCAUUAAAUGUGUUUAGAGCUCCUUUCUUGUGAACCUUUUAGAGUGUUUCUAUGGAAAAAUAAAACCAAAGGUACAUUUAAAGAUAUUUUCUUAAGGUAUUGCUAAAAAAUCCAUUUUUGUGGACUGCUUUAAGCCAGAUUUACUCAGUUGGCCCAAAGGAACAAGGAGGAAUAAAAGGGAAAAAAACAAACCACAACAACGAUCACAUGGCACCAAAUUGAUAAAUAUUCUGUUUUUGUAUGUCUUUUGCCAUGUUCUUAAUUUGAGUGGUCAGUUGAGUCCCUUCUAAAGUUUUUUUGGUAGAUCACUGUUAUUUACUGGGUUCCUCCUUUGUAUGUUAAGUGUGUUAGAUGCUAAUAAAAAAUAAUAACUCCAGUUUAAAGCAAAAACUCUCAAAUUACCACCCUCCCCCACCAUGGUGUGCGUGGAAAGUGCCUUGGGAACAGUAUGCUCAGGAAGCACCACUGAUUGGAGCCCUGAGAAGGUGUGGGUCAUCUCUGGCUUGGGGGUGUGGGGAGUGGAGAUGGGUAAGCUUUUGACAGACAUGGAGAUUAGCAUGCAUUUCAGGUUUAUUUUUGUAGUCUCUCCCUUUGCAAUGGAAAUUGCCAUUCCUCCUACUCUGGAUGGAAGCUGAUGUGGUCUUGCUGGCUGCCCAUGUAGUCACUACAAAUUUAUCAAGAAAACCAGGAGAACUUACAGAGUUGUCAAGUGAGUUUUGUGAAGAAUUACUGUGGGAGUUUGGAAAAUAAGGAGGAGACAGGUUUUUUAGACCAACAGGGAUCAACUGAACUUGAGUAGUCUGGGUCUGAGAAUACUAAAGUGGAACAAACUGACUGAGACUUACUGUGUUAUCCCAGAAGAUGAGGAAACUGAGGCCCAGAAUGAAGAAUGGAUUGGCCUUUAUCAUGUUCAGUACUUUAGUCAUCAUGGGCAUUCAAUAAAUGCAGUUUGCUGGAACAAGCUGUGGUCGAUUUGCUUCAGGAAUUAACAGAUAUAGACACCCUCCAUGAGAGUGAAGAGGGAGCAGAAGUGCUCAUCGAUGCUCUGGUGGAUGGGCAGGUGGUAGCACUGCUGGUACAGAAUCUGGAGCGCCUGGAUGAGUCUGUGAAAGAGGAGGCAGAUGGCGUCCACAACACUCUGGCUAUUGUGGAAAACAUGGCUGAGUUCCGGCCUGAGAUGUGUACAGAGGGUGCCCAGCAGGGUCUUCUACAGUGGCUGUUGAAGAGGCUGAAGGCAAAGAUGCCUUUCGAUGCCAACAAACUGUAUUGCAGUGAAGUGCUGGCCAUAUUGCUCCAGGACAAUGAUGAAAACAGGGAAUUGCUUGGGGAGCUGGAUGGAAUCGAUGUGCUUCUUCAGCAGUUAUCCGUGUUUAAAAGACACAAUCCCAGCACGGCUGAGGAGCAGGAGAUGAUGGAGAAUCUGUUUGAUUCCCUCUGCUCCUGUCUAAUGCUUAGUUCCAAUCGUGAGCGCUUCCUGAAGGGCGAGGGUCUUCAGCUGAUGAAUCUCAUGCUCAGGGAAAAGAAGAUCUCCCGGAGCAGUGCCCUGAAAGUGCUGGACCAUGCCAUGAUUGGCCCUGAAGGCACAGACAACUGCCAUAAGUUUGUUGACAUUCUUGGCUUAAGAACCAUCUUUCCCCUCUUUAUGAAAUCUCCCAGGAAGAUCAAGAAAGUGGGAACCACUGAGAAGGAACAUGAAGGAGCCAGUUAGGAUGACCAGGGCUGACUGAAACAUGUUCAGUGGCAGACAUGUGAUCAGGUUGCAGUAUGGAAGGAGUUACCUGGUGAUCUAGGACAGAGCAUGUCUGUUCGAUCCUGGCUUCCCUCCUGCGGAACCUGAGAGGGCAGCAGCGGACCCGGCUUCUGAAUAAAUUCACUGAAAAUGACAGUGAGAAGGUUGACAGACUAAUGGAGUUGCAUUUUAAAUAUCUGGGUGCAAUGCAGGUGGCGGACAAGAAGAUUGAAGGGGAAAAACACGACAUGGUCCGGCGAGGAGAGAUCAUCGACAAUGACACCGAGGAGGAGUUCUACCUCCGGCGCCUGGAUGCGGGGCUCUUUGUUCUCCAGCACAUCUGCUACAUCAUGGCCGAGAUCUGCAAUGCCAAUGUCCCCCAGAUUCGCCAGAGGGUUCACCAGAUCCUAAACAUGCGAGGAAGCUCCAUCAAAAUUGUCAGGCAUAUCAUCAAGGAGUAUGCAGAGAACAUCGGGGACGGCCGGAGCCCGGAGUUCCGGGAGAACGAGCAAAAGCGCAUCCUGGGCUUGCUGGAGAACUUCUAGAGGCACCUUGGCCCUGCGCAUCGUGGACUCAGCUUCCCUCCCAGCAUCAGUUUCUACACAACUCUGUGUGGCUUUUGGACAAAUUAAAGCUAGUUUUGGUACCCCCGGGCCA